rnacentral:lncRNA from 1 species
AAAACAACAAGGCAUUCGAGAACAGGCCUGAUGUAAAUAAGGAAAAACAUAGCAAGUGUCUGUCAUCUUAUCUGUUCCUGCCUACUUUAAGGCUAUCUCCCUUAUUCCGCUCUCGUCCGUUUGAAGUUCACUGUUUUUCUCCGACUUAUUCCUGUUCUUAUGCUCCUCACAAAACUGAUUUGGAUUGUCAAGCAAAAAGGCGAGCAGAAUUUGAGAUAAAACUGCCGCUCAGUAUUGGAGUUCCCCCGAUUUCCCUGUUGACACACAGCUGACCGUUCACUCGAGUGCUGAAAUGAGGAAUCUUUCUGACUCUUUGUCACCGAAUAAUUGAAACUUUGUUCAGAAAACUGUCAUCGUAGAAAGUUGGAGCAUUGAUGACUUUAGAUCAGCAUCUUGAGAGGAAUUGAAUUCAAUAAAAAAAUUUAAAAUCGAUCGUUGUGCACUCUCCCAUUAGAAGUGUGCCCUUUGGGACCAAAGCUAAACUCAUGUUCCUUUUUCAUGCUACUUUGUUGGAUGUAAUCAUGGAGCGACUUCGUUCAAAAAUUGUGAGCAGAUUGGUGAAAGAAGGUUCGAGUGCAGAUGAGCCCACCAACAUUAAUCUCUCGGACUACUCAAGCGAUGAAGGUGAUACAAGCAGUUGCACCGAUGAUGAAACAACAGAUAAACCUACCCUGCCUGCGUCAGCUCCUCCUUCCUCACCUUUGUGUCCUCGUCAAAAAGGAACUCAAAAGCUUAAAGAAACAUCCCCCAAAACAAACGUAUCCCAGCCGCUUUCAUCCUACUCUUCACCUCUACCGCGUAAAAUUUUACAGGUUCAUUGCGCCAACUUGGACAUCUUUAAUCGAGAGAGUGAUGUUGAUUCUGGUGGUGAAAGUCCAGUUGGAGGACAUAUCUCAAGAAGCAUGGAAAGAAAUAAUAUUGAGAAUUUCCAGUUCUUGAAUCGAGGACACAUGCCUCCUGAGCUAAUGAUAACUACGGCACAAGUUUAUGAUAUGCAAAUUGUGACGGAAGGAAAUACAUCCUUUACGAAGGAAACUAACGAUACGAAAGGUAUGCGUUAUUAUUCAUUUAAUUCUAAUGAAUGUGGGUAGUGACUUUUGAACGGAUUCAAGUCAAGCGCUAUAGUGCUCGUUAAUUGCGUAAUUCAGGAGCUGCAAGUAGUAGGAAAAUGCCGACUUGAGCACAGUAAGAUGUCCAACAGCGUUGCACGAUGGUGCAGAAAAAUACGAAUUAAAUUACAGUGUUG